GACGAACGCUGGCGGCGUGCUUAACACAUGCAAGUCGAACGAUGAAGCCGGAGCUUGCUCUGGUGAAUUAGUGGCGAACGGGUGAGUAACACGUGAGUAACCUGCCCUCGACUCUGGGAUAACUGCUAGAAAUGGUAGCUAAUACCGGAUACGACCCUCGGCGGCAUCGCCAGGGGGUGGAAAGAAUUUCGGUCAAGGAUGGACUCGCGGCCUAUCAGCUAGUUGGUGAGGUAACGGCUCACCAAGGCGACGACGGGUAGCCGGCCUGAGAGGGUGACCGGCCACACGGGGACUGAGACACGGCCCAGACUCCUACGGGAGGCAGCAGUGGGGAAUAUUGCACAAUGGGCGCAAGCCUGAUGCAGCAACGCCGCGUGAGGGAUGACGGCCUUCGGGUUGUAAACCUCUUUUAGUAGGGAAGAAGCGAAAGUGACGGUACCUGCAGAAAAAGCACCGGCUAACUACGUGCCAGCAGCCGCCGUAA
rnacentral:rRNA from 1 species